rnacentral:lncRNA from 1 species
AUGGAUGUGAAGACAAGAGUGAGUAUUUCUGUUAAAUGGCAGUUCCAUCUCUCACUGGAGAAUACAGUUUUCAGAGACUGUGCUAGCCCCAGCAGGCUCCUUGCUGGAGUGCAGUACCUUACUAGUCUCCAGCUUCCUAGCAUGAAGAAUCCCUGGGGAUGGGAGAUUGUGUGGAGAGAGGAAGGAAGGGCACUUCCUUUGGGUGGACAGAGAGAUUCAAGGUGAGAGAAGCUUCAGCUCAGUAUAACUGCCCACCUGCUUUAGCACAUGUUGAAUAGACAUCAAAGAAGACACAAGAGAGUUGAGGUCCAGUCAGCCUGCUGAACAGAGAGUUGCAGUGACGGCUGCCUCACAUUUGAGGCAUCCAGGCAGCCUGUGACUAAGGUUGGUGAGUCCCAUGGCUGAGAACUUUGCAUCUGGAGAUUGGUGCCUCUCUUCAACCUCCAGUUAUGUGUUGUCCAGGGGCUGCCCCUGCCUUAAGCUGUGAGAAGUGCUGUCUGAAUUACAAGAAUGACGUUCACUGAAAAGGAACUGGAGGAUGUUGAAACAGAGAGAGGUUUGUGGCAGGAGUCUGCAGUCCACUUUGCAGAAGUUUUACUAAGUGCUGAGACCACUCC